rnacentral:lncRNA from 1 species
GACGAAGUACGAGUAGAAAAGAACCUCCCACAGGACAUCAGGGAGGGUCUAGAGCAACUCCUGAGGAAGAACGAAGACCUGUUCGCUAGCGAGUUGGGGGAGUUGGGCGGCGUACCCAGGACGCUGGCGGUAGCCCCGGACGCCCACCCCGUCAGGCAAAAGUUAUGCCCGCUAAGGGCGGAAAAAAGGGAGGCGUCCGAACUGGAGGUCAGGAAGCUCCUCCAAGCGGGAUUCAUUCGUCCAGUACGCUAUCCCGCCUGGCU